rnacentral:rRNA from 1 species
GAUGAACGCUGGCGGCGUGCCUAAUACAUGCAAGUCGAGCGAACAGACGAGGAGCUUGCUCCUCUGACUUUAGCGGCGGACGGGUGAGUAACACGUGGAUAACCUACCUAUAAGACUGGGAUAACUUCGUGAAACCGGAGCUAAUACCGGAUAAUAUAUUGAACCGCAUGGUUCAAUAGUGAAAGACGGUUUUGCUGUCACUUAUAGAUGGAUCCGCGCCGCAUUAGCUAGUUGGUAAGGUAACGGCUUACCAAGGCGACGAUGCGUAGCCGACCUGAGAGGGUGAUCGGCCACACUGGAACUGAGACACGGUCCAGACUCCUACGGGAGGCAGCAGUAGGGAAUCUUCCGCAAUGGGCGAAAGCCUGACGGAGCAACGCCGCGUGAGUGAUGAAGGUCUUCGGAUCGUAAAACUCUGUUAUUAGGGAAGAACAAAUGUGUAAGUAACUAUGCACGUAUUGACGUUACCUAAUCAGAAAGCCACGGCUAACUCCGUG